GGGGAAUCUUGCACAAUGGGGGAAACCCUGAUGCAGCGACGCCGCGUGAAGGAUGAAGGUCCUCUGGAUUGUAAACUUCCUUUAUCUGGGACGAAAACGGGAUUUUUAUCUCAAUUGACGGUACCAGAGGAAUAAGCACCGGCUAACUCCGUGCCAGCAGCCGCGGUAAUACGGAGGGUGCGAGCGUUAUCCGGAUUUACUGGGUUUAAAGGGUGCGUAGGUGGGCUUAUAAGUCAGUGGUGAAAUCUCCGAGCUUAACUUGGAAACUGCCGUUGAUACUAUAGGUCUUGAAUUAUCUGGAGGUAAGCGGAAUAUGUCAUGUAGCGGUGAAAUGCUUAGAUAUGACAUAGAACACCAAUUGCGAAGGCAGCUUACUACAUAUAAAUUGACGCUGAGGCACGAAAGCGUGGGGAUCAAACA
rnacentral:rRNA from 1 species